CCCAUACCCUCAAUGUAUAUAUAAUAGCACACCAGUAGUAUCCCUGCAUCACCAGGAGACAAUACACAGUGCAUCAUCCAGGAAAAAAGUUAGACCUCCCAGUUAAACAUGACACGAACAAUCACAUUGCUGCUGAUAUCCCUAGGUGUGCUCCUUGCUCUGGUAACAGCACAAUCAAUAGAUGGUAAGGAUUUGUUACUAUAAGAAUUAGAUUUUACUU